UCGACUCAUCAUCCAUGCCAAACUAUUUUAGUAUGCUAGAGCCAACUCUUCAUCAGCAGAAGUCCACUCUAAUUGCCCAAACUUGUGAAAUCUUAUUUUUUAAAGUGUUUUGACUUGACUUCUUGAGGAUUUCUUUCAAGGAUGAUUUCUUUAUUAUGAAUACUUUAGAAAUACUACAUCCACUAUUAAAACACAUGAUCAAUAUCAUAAUUACUCAAUAUUUUGUAAUUAUCAAAAUCAAUCAUAGGGAGGUUAACAUGAUUGUGUUCUUAUUUUUGCAAGGGUUGUCACUUGAAGACCCAACUUCUAUAAGACCCACACUUCUAGCUAGUCCAAUACUAGACCAAGGC
rnacentral:lncRNA from 1 species